rfam:Salmo salar isolate Sally breed double haploid chromosome ssa15, whole genome shotgun sequence.
UGCACUCCCCACUGUAAGUCGCUCUGGAUAAGAGCGUCUGCUAAAUGACUAAAA